rnacentral:rRNA from 1 species
CACUCCUGCGGGAGGCAGCAGUGGGGAAUUUUGGACAAUGGGCGAAAGCCUGAUCCAGCCAUGCCGCGUGCAGGAUGAAGGCCUUCGGGUUGUAAACUGCUUUUGUACGGAACGAAACGGCCUUUUCUAAUAAAGAGGGCUAAUGACGGUACCGUAAGAAUAAGCACCGGCUAACUACGUGCCAGCAGCCGCGGUAAUACGUAGGGUGCAAGCGUUAAUCGGAAUUACUGGGCGUAAAGCGUGCGCAGGCGGUUAUGUAAGACAGUUGUGAAAUCCCCGGGCUCAACCUGGGAACUGCAUCUGUGACUGCAUAGCUAGAGUACGGUAGAGGGGGAUGGAAUUCCGCGUGUAGCAGUGAAAUGCGUAGAUAUGCGGAGGAACACCGAUGGCGAAGGCAAUCCCCUGGACCUGUACUGACGCUCAUGCACGAAAGCGUGGGGAGCAAACAGGAUUAGAAACCCGGGUAGUCC